UUAAAUUGAAGAGUUUGAUCAUGGCUCAGAUUGAACGCUGGCGGCAGGCCUAACACAUGCAAGUCGAGCGGUAACACAGAGAGCUUGCUCUCGGGUGACGAGCG
rnacentral:rRNA from 1 species